GGGGUUAUAGUUUAUAAAAAAUGUGGAUUUUGUAAAUCUGAGAAUGUAAGACUCCAAAUUUAA
rnacentral:tRNA from 1 species